rnacentral:misc_RNA from 1 species
GGAUUUUCCUAUUCAUUUUUCAACGAAUCAACUGAUCACUCGGGAAGCUUUCUAAUUUUUUCCAUAUGAAACAAUUACUAUAUAUUUGUUUUGUCACCAAUUUAAUCAAAAUAUUUGUGGGAAUAACUACCGAACAUUUUUCUGUCGGAAUAUAGUGAAUUUUUUUGUUAGUGCAAGCAUAACUAAGCUACAUAUAUAGUAAUUAAAAUAAGCAUAACUAAUACUACAUAUAUAUGUUAUAUAUGAGAAAAUUUAUGUAUUAUAUACAUGAAUAUAAUGACUAAGCUAUGUAUAACCAAAUCCAUACAUAAAUUUCCCUUAUACAGUAUACUACUAAUACAUGCAUGACUCUAACCAGCUACGAAACGACCGCUGAGCAUGUUAACUAUGGCAAUUGCUCAAACUGCAAUGUUUUGAUUGUUUAUGCAGCCAUAUCUCCCAAGUGAAACA